rnacentral:rRNA from 1 species
AUUGAACGCUGGCGGCAUGCCUUACACAUGCAAGUCGAACGGUAACAGGCCGCAAGGUGCUGACGAGUGGCGAACGGGUGAGUAAUGCAUCGGAACGUGCCCAGUCGUGGGGGAUAACUGCUCGAAAGAGCAGCUAAUACCGCAUACGACCUGAGGGUGAAAGCGGGGGACCGUAAGGCCUCGCGCGAUUGGAGCGGCCGAUGUCAGACUAGCUAGUUGGUGGGGUAAAGGCCUACCAAGGCAACGAUCUGUAGUUGGUCUGAGAGGACGACCAGCCACACUGGGACUGAGACACGGCCCAGACUCCUACGGGAGGCAGCAGUGGGGAAUUUUGGACAAUGGGCGCAAGCCUGAUCCAGCAAUGCCGCGUGCAGGAAGAAGGCCUUCGGGUUGUAAACUGCUUUUGUCAGGGAAGAAAUCUUCUGGGCUAAUACCCCGGGAGGAUGACGGUACCUGAAGAAUAAGCACCGGCUAACUACGUGCCAGCCGCCGCCGUAUAC